rnacentral:tRNA from 1 species
CGGGGCGUGGCGCAGCCCGGUAGCGCGCUUCAAUGGGGUUGAAGAGGUCGCUGGUUCGAAUCCAGUCGCCCCGA